AGCGAACGCUGGCAGCAGGCCUAACACAUGCAAGUCGAACGGAACCUUCGGGAUUAGUGGCGGACGGGUGAGUAACACGUGGGAACGUGCCCUUUGGUUCGGAACAACUCAGGGAAACUUGAGCUAAUACCGGAUGUGCCCUCCGGGGGCAAGAUUUAUCGCCAUUGGAGCGGCCCGCGUCUGAUUAGCUAGUUGGUGAGGUAAAGGCUCACCAAGGCGACGAUCAGUAGCUGGUCUGAGAGGAUGAUCAGCCACAUUGGGACUGAGACACGGCCCAAACUCCUACGGGAGGCAGCAGUGGGGAAUCUUGCGCAAUGGGCGAAAGCCUGACGCAGCCAUGCCGCGUGAAUGAUGAAGGUCUUAGGAUUGUAAAAUUCUUUCACCGGGGACGAUAAUGACGGUACCCGGAGAAGAAGCCCCGGCUAACUUCGUGCCAGCCGCCGCCGUAA
rnacentral:rRNA from 1 species